UGGGUAAAAGGAAAGGGGGAGAGGAGGAAGAUUAAGAUGGGCUAAAUUGGACGGGAGACUCGAAAGAGCGAAGAAGAGGCUUUAAGCUCGUGUUUCAAUGCGGAAACGCAAUGAAAAGAACUGAAAAAUGAAUCAUCUUAGUAUCAGCGUGGCACAGAGAAAUCAAACGAGAUUCCGUAAGUAGCAGGGAGCGAAAGCGGAAAAGUCCCAGAGGGGAAGUAAAUAGUGGAAGAAAGGAGUUCAUAUAUCUAAGACUAACUGUUGGUCCAUACUGAAAGCGCGAGUACUGUGAAGGAAAAUUGAAAGAGACUUGAAAAGAUCUGGAAUCCUGUUUUUUAAAGCAGCUGUGAGACAGCGUACCUUUUGUAUAAUGGGUUUAUGAGAUAUCGUUUGGCAAAUUUAAGUAAAAAGGAUAAAAGUGUAGAUGAAGAGAAGUCGAAGGGGCUUUUUAGUCAAAUUCCCCGAAACCAAGUGAUCUAACCAUGGGCAGUUUAAUGGACGAACCGGUGGUUGUAGCAAAAACCUCGGAGGACCCGUGGUUAGGGGGGAAAGCCUAAUCGGACUUGGAGAUAGCUGGUUUUUUGCGAAAACUAUUGAAGUAGGGCGUUCACACAGGGGCCACAGAUUGAGGCUAAAACAAAAAUGGAGGGGUGUUACGAUUGCAGAUGUCAAGUGACUGACUUUAUUUUUUCAAUCGACGCCCCAUUAAAAUUUUAGGGUAAAGAUCUAUCGCCUUAAGGGGGAUGGACUUUAAAGGUAAAAUUGGAAGUGGACAGACAGACAAGGGGCAAAUAGGUCCGUUGUUAAAGGGGGGGAGCCCAAAUUAGAAGUUAAAGUCAGAGAUUCAAUAAUUAAGUGUAAAAGGAACAUGGGAUUUAGACAAUGAGGAGGUAGGCUUGGAGCCAGCCAUCUUUGAAAGAAUGCGUAGAAGUUCACUCAGGAACUCUUUUCUCCCAAAAAUUAUGGUGGCUAAAAGUUGAACUGAAACUCUGGGGGCAGUAAGUAGUUUGCUUGGUAGUAGAACAGACUGUUGGGAGGUGGUGAGAACCCAAGAAUCAGAAGAGAAAAUGUGAACAUGAGUAAAAAAAUUGUUGCUUCAUCUCCCCGGGUUUCCAAGCCAAAGGCACCGAGCGAAGAGGCUUGGGUGAAACAGCCUCUAAGGGGGUUACCAAUGGGCGAUCGUAAUAAACGCACAAUGUGCCAGGAAAGAUUUAUAACAAAAGAUUACUGUCGCAAACUAACACAAGUGGGAGAUAGUGAGGGGGAAAGUUUUUUAAGGAACUCGGCUAGUCAUUAGCUUUCAUUAGAAGUUAAAACACAGGGCCUCGACUGUUUACCAAAAACAUAGCUCUUCGCUAAUAUGAGGGUAGAAGUAUGAGGGGUGAGACCUGCCCAAUGGUUGUAUCUUAAAAGGUUGGUAAGGCGAAUUUAACAAAGACAAUUUAAUGGCUGCGGUAACACUGACCGUGAAAAUGUAGCGAAAUAAAUAGUCAAUUAAUUGUUGACCGGUAUGAAUGGUGUCACGAGGGUCUCGCUGUCUUAAGGAAGUUUCCAGUGAAAUUGAACUUGUAGUGAAGAUGCUACAUCUAAAUUGUUAGACAAGAAGUCCCCAUGGAACUUUACUGGAGACUUAUGUGGCUGACUUAAAUAGUUUUAAAAUGUGGUGUGACUCAACUAGGGUUAGAAAAGCUCACUUUUUAUUUUAAGAAAGGCAACUUAAAAAUAUAUGUUUUUGGGAUUGGAUAAGUGAGACAGUUUGGUUGGGGCGACCGCCUUUAAAAAAGUAACGAAGGCGGACUUAAGAUGUAUGUUUAGUUAUGUCUGACUGCUAAGGGGAGACCCAGAGCAGACACUUGUCUUUGGAUGGUGGGUUUAAGUGACCCGUUAGCUCAGAGCGAAAGGGUUAACGAUAAACAAACAAAAGUUACCCUGGGGAUAACAGCGCAAUAACGUUUAAGAGUUUUUAUCGACGACGAUGUUUGCGACCUCGAUGUUGAAUUGCGGCAUCCUGGGGAGCAGCCGCUCCCAAGGGUUGGUCUGUUCGUCCAUUAAAGCCGUACAUGAUUUGAGUUAAAAGCGUCGUAAGACAGCUUGGUUUCUAUCUACAAUUUGAAGAAACAUUGAUAUAACUAUUUUCUAGUACGAAAGGAUCGAAAAAUUAGUGGUUCUCUUAUUUUUAUAAGUUACAAUCAAUUGAUUGGCCCGGAUACUUUUUGAGGGGGUCUUUUGGUUACUUGCUGAUUGCUUCUAAAGCAUGAAAAUUAUAUCAAGUUGUUUGAAACCCGGAAAAGGGACUGUU
rnacentral:rRNA from 1 species